rnacentral:tRNA from 1 species
GGCAAGAUGGCCGAGCGGUCUAAGGCGCUAGGGUCAGGUACCUGAUCUCACAUAUUCAUCCGAAUAUUCCUAGUCUCGAAAGGGGCGUGGGUUCGAAUCCCACUCUUGUCA